UACACCUUCACUGUUGAUAAAUAUUUCUCUCACUGCAGUUUCUUUUAGCUGGAGUAAAUGGCAACACAUCGAAGGUGGAUACACAGUAGAGAUGUUUUAAAAAGCAGCGAGGACAGUUCACUUGCAGUGCCUCACCCGUCACUUCUCACGGAGUGGGUAGAUGACAUGAAACUAUGGCCCGAUGUUAGCUACAUCGACAUUAUUAAUUACCUUGUAUUUUCCGAAGGCGUUGAUGGCGAGGAAUUACGUAAUUACAAGAGCACCGAGGCGUAUAAUUACCUGCACAGCAACAAAAUUGAUAAAGUACUGCUCAACAAACAAGGCGACUUUAUUUUUCUUAAAGCAGCUGUAGAGCCGAGCCAGAGCAUUAAUCAAGCGAAACACUUAGCAUGGGUAAUGCUAAGAGAAAGUGGAGUAGUGGAGACAGUCGGCUGUUCCUGUAUCGCCGGAUUAGGGAGAUCAUGUAGUCAUGCGGCUGCUAUUCUGUGGAAGGUGCAGAAUGCUGUGAUCAGUGGAAAGACAGGGCUUGCGUGUACAGAUGAGCAGCGCAGGUGGAAUGCAGGGACAGCAAAGAACCUUGAACCUAAACGUCUAAGCCAGAUAAACCUCAGACAUCACAGGGCAGAGCAGCAGUACGAUGUGAACUCCCGGACUGCAGUGACACAAUCUCUCCCUAACACACCAUAUCACCUUACACAUCAAGA